rnacentral:lncRNA from 1 species
CGACGCUCUCUAAACUGUCGCGACUGACCCGGUGAGACAAGCAGCUUGAAGCUCCUGCGGCCCUCCCGGGCCACGUCCACGGCACGGUGAGGCGCAAAGGCGUCUUGCAGCCCCACCCCUACCCCCACCCCCACUCGACGCUCUCUAAACUGCCGCGACCGACCCGGUGAGACAAGCAGCUGGAAACUCCUGCGGCCGUCCCCACCGCACGCCACACAUUCCUCAGAGGGAUGGAGAGGAUUUGGAUCCUUCUCACAGAGCAUAAAUAGUAUUAUGAAGAGCCAUUUAAGAAAUGGACAAUGGAAAUGUGGAAUCUGAGUGUGGAGAAGAAAGGCCUGAAGGCAGCAGGAUAAGAUUCUGUAUCUUUGAAUAGAAGACAACCUUUAUGUGCCUCAUGCCUGAUACCCGAAUGAAGACAUUAGAGGCCUCUCUUUGGAUUUGUUUUAUAAUAACAAAAUUUAUUUAGGGGAGGUUUCCUCUUACUCUGUGCUUGUUUUGAGCAACACAUUCACUAACAUUCUGGAAGAACAAAGGCUGAGCACAUUAUAAUCACAAACCUCAGACAAUGGGGGCAUUGGG